AAUCUUCCGCAAUGGACGAAAGUCUGACGGAGCGACCCCGCGUGGGUGAUGAAGGUCUUCGUAUCGUAAUACUCUGUUUUAAGGGAAGAACAAGUAACCACCGAAAAAAUCGGUACCUUGACGGCACCUAACCAGAAAGCACCAGCUAACUACGUGCCAGCAGCCGCGGUGAUACGUAGGGGGCAAGCGUUGUCCGGAAUUAUUGGGCGUAAAGGGCGCGCAGGUGGUCUUCUAAGUCUGAUGUGAAAUCUCGUAGCUUAACUACGGGAGGUCAUUGGAAACUGGGAGGCUAGAGGACAGAAGAGGAGAGUGGAAUUCCAGGUGUAGCGGUGAAAUGCGUAGAGAUGUGGAGGAACACCAGUGGCGAAGGCGACUAUCUGGUCUGUAACUGACGCUGAGGCGCGAAAGCGUGGGGAGCGAACA
rnacentral:rRNA from 1 species